rnacentral:rRNA from 1 species
GACGAACGCUGGCGGCGUGCCUAAUACAUGCAAGUAGAACGCUGAAGGAGGAGCUUGCUUCUCUGGAUGAGUUGCGAACGGGUGAGUAACGCGUAGGUAACCUGCCUGGUAGCGGGGGAUAACUAUUGGAAACGAUAGCUAAUACCGCAUAAGAGUAGAUGUUGCAUGACAUUUGCUUAAAAGGUGCAAUUGCAUCACUACCAGAUGGACCUGCGUUGUAUUAGCUAGUUGGUGGGGUAACGGCUCACCAAGGCGACGAUACAUAGCCGACCUGAGAGGGUGAGCGGCCACACUGGGACUGAGACACGGCCCAGACUCCUACGGGAGGCAGCAGUAGGGAAUCUUCGGCAAUGGACGGAAGUCUGACCGAGCAACGCCGCGUGAGUGAAGAAGGUUGUCGGAUCGUAAAGCUCUGUUGUAAGAGAAGAACGAGUGUGAGAGUGGAAAGUUCACACUGUGACGGUAUCUUACCAGAAAGGGACGGCUAACUACGUG